UAGAUACCCUGGUAGUCCUGGCCGUAAACGAUGGAUACUAGGUGUAGGAGGUAUCGACCCCUCCUGUGCCGGAGUUAACGCAAUAAGUAUCCCGCCUGGGGAGUACGGUCGCAAGACUGAAACUCAAAGGAAUUGACGGGGGCCCGCACAAGCGGUGGAGUAUGUGGUUUAAUUCGACGCAACGCGAAGAACCUUACCAGGGCUUGACAUUGAGUGCAAGGGCAAGAGAUUGUCCCCUUAUCUUCGGAUA
rnacentral:rRNA from 1 species